ACGGGGACUAGCCCGGGUGGCUCGGCGUCACCUGUAACCCGAAACCGCCGUUACGCGGGAGGCGAAGUCUGAGGAAGGCUGUGGUGGCCUGCCGGAGCCGGUGCGUCCUGACGGAGAAACCUCGUCCUAUGAGGUCGGCGGACAGGCACCAACACUCCGGAGGGAGCAGCGACCUGUUGCCACGGGGACCGGUUCAGGCCCGGAAGGGAGCAGACUCACCGUGGACGUUCGGCGCCCAUAGGGUUGCGGGGCGGAGGAAGGAAGCCCCGGUAAAAGCAGGUGCGCGCUGUCGACCGAGGACGUGUCCCCAA
rnacentral:SRP_RNA from 1 species